rnacentral:rRNA from 1 species
AGAACGAACGCUGGCGGCAUGCCUAACACAUGCAAGUCGAACGAGACCUUCGGGUCUAGUGGCGCACGGGUGCGUAACGCGUGGGAAUCUGCCCUUAGGUACGGAAUAGCCCGGGGAAACCUGGAAUAAUACCGUAUAAUGACUUCGGUCCAAAGAUUUAUCGCCUAAGGAUGAGCCCGCGUAGGAUUAGCUUGUUGGUGAGGUAAAAGCUCACCAAGGCGACGAUCCUUAGCUGGUCUGAGAGGAUGAUCAGCCACACUGGGACUGAGACACGGCCCAGACUCCUACGGGAGGCAGCAGUGGGGAAUAUUGGACAAUGGGCGAAAGCCUGAUCCAGCAAUGCCGCGUGAGUGAUGAAGGCCUUAGGGUUGUAAAGCUCUUUUGGCGGGAAGAUAAUGACGGUACCCGCAGAAUAAGCUCCGGCUAACUUCGUGCCAGCAGCCGC